GUAACGCGUAUCGAACCUGCCGCAUACCCGGGGAUAGCCUUGCGAAAGCAAGAUUAAUACCCGAUGUUCUCACUGUUCCGCAUGUUACGGUGAGCAAAGAAUUUCGGUAUGCGAUGGCGAUGCGUCCCAUUAGCUAGUUGGCGGGGUAACGGCCCACCAAGGCUCCGAUGGGUAGGGGUUCUGAGAGGAAGGUCCCCCACACUGGUACUGAGACACGAUCAACCUUUAAACGGGAGGUAGCACUGAGUAAUAUUGGUCACUGGCCGCAGGGAUGAACCAGCCAAGUCUCGUGAGGGAUGACGGUCCUAUGGAUUGUAAACCUCUUUUGUCGGCGAGCACAGAGAGCCACGUGUGGCGUUUUGCGAGUACCUGAAGAAAAAGCAUCGG
rnacentral:rRNA from 1 species